UCGAUCUUCUUCAUCUUUAAAUUUUGUUCGACUCUGUUUUAACCUGGGAAAUGAACGAUCCUAAAUAUGCUUACCCAUAUCCCACCCAAGGUUAUUACCAAGGGCCUCCUGUAAUGGCUCCUCCCCAAUAUGCCGCUCCACCACCAAUGGCAGAACCAGGAUGCUUCGAAGCAUGUCUUGCGGCUUUCUGUUGUUGUUGUCUUAUAGAUGAGUGUUGCUGUGACCCCACUCUUAUGUUCGUGACUUGAAGAUGUUCAUCCACCUCACAG